AAGUUCAGUAUUUUUGUGAUCUUACUUUUUGAACAUUCUAUUGUGGUAUACUUUAGAUUUUAAUAUUAAAUUAUAGACUCUCGGUUUGAAUUUUCCUCGCAAUUAUGUAUUUUAGUUAUUUUAAUUUUUCAAAGUUAUUUUGUUUAAAAUUCUAAUAAAUGCAUAUUUUUCGUAUGAAUACAAUAUUGCAUGAGACGUCUUCUGCUAAACAACAGCGUAUUUGUUACAUAAUGAGCCUCAAUGAAAUUCCGGAUUCUUAAGAAUGUGAGAAAGCAAUGUGUUCGUAGUUCUCUCCUGAUUGAUUGACAGAAAGCAAUGUGUUCGUAGUUCACUCGUGAUUGAUUGACAGCUCCCCUGAUUGAUUGACAGAAAGCAAUGUGUUCGUAGUUCUCUCGUGAUUGAUUGACAGAAAGCAAUGUGUUCUUAGUUCUCUCGUGAUUGAUUGACAGAAAGCAAUGUGUUCGUAGUUCACUCCUGAUUGAUUGACAGAAAGCAAUGUGUUCGUAGUUCUCUCGUGAUUGAUUGACAGAAAGCAAUGUGUUCGUAGUUCUCCCCUGAUUGAUUGACAGAAAGCAAUGUGUUCGUAGUUCUCUCGUGAUUGAUUGACAGAAGCAUGUGUUCGUAGUUUCUCUCUGAUUGAUUGACAGAAAGCAUGUGUUCGUAGAUUCUCUCCUGAUUGAUUGACAGAAAGCAAUGUGUUCGUAGUUCUCUCGUAAUUGAUUGACAGAAAGCAAUGUGUUCGUAGUUCUCUCGUAAUUGAUUGACAGAAAGCAAUGUGUUCGUAGUUCUCUCGUGAUUUGAUGACAGAAAGCAAUGUGUUCGUAGUUCUCUUCUGAUUGAUUGACAGAAAGCAAUGUGUUCGUAGUUCUCUCCUGAUUGAUUGACAGAAAGCAAUGUGUUCGUAGUUCUCUCGUAAUUGAUUGACAGAAGCUAUUGUGUUCGUAGUUCUC
rnacentral:lncRNA from 1 species